GUGGGGAAUAUUGCGCAAUGGGCGAAAGCCUGACGCAGCGACGCCGCGUGAGGGAUGAAGGUUUUCGGAUCGUAAACCUCUGUCAGAAGGGAAGAAACUACAUUGUGCUAAUCAGCAGUGUACUGACGGUACCUUCAAAGGAAGCACCGGCUAACUCCGUGCCAGCAGCCGCGGUAAUACGGAGGGUGCAAGCGUUAAUCGGAAUUACUGGGCGUAAAGCGCACGUAGGCUGUAGUGUAAGUCAGGGGUGAAAUCCCACGGCUCAACCGUGGAACUGCCUUUGAUACUGCACAACUUGAAUCCGGGAGAGGGUGGCGGAAUUCCAGGUGUAGGAGUGAAAUCCGUAGAUAUCUGGAGGAACAUCAGUGGCGAAGGCGGCCACCUGGACCGGUAUUGACGCUGAGGUGCGAAAGUGUGGGUAUCAAACAGGAUUAGAAACCCUAGUAGUCC
rnacentral:rRNA from 1 species